rnacentral:rRNA from 1 species
CCGUCGUCAGUUCGUACUGUGAAGCAUCCUGUUAAGUCAGGCAACGAGCGAGACCCACGCCAACAGUUGCCAGCAUGUCCUCCGGGAUGAUGGGGACACUGUUGGGACCGCCUCUGGCUAAAGAGGAGGAAGGAAUGGGCAACGGUAGGUCUAGCAUGCCCCGAAUUAUCCGGGCUACACGCGGGCUACAAUGGUCAGGACAAUGGGUAUCGACACCGAGAGGUGGAGGCAAUCUCCUAAACCUGUCCUUAGUUCGGAUUGUGGGCUGCAACUCGCCCACAUGAAGCUGGAAUCCGUAGUAAUCGCGUUUCAACAGAACGCGGUGAAUACGUCCCUGCUCCUU